GGGUACGUGGCUCAAUUGGUUAGAGCGCGAGGUUGUGACCCUCGAGGUUACGGGUUCGAAUCCCGUCGUACCCC
rnacentral:tRNA from 1 species